rnacentral:rRNA from 1 species
AUCAAGUGCCUUAAGAGCAUUCGGUGGAUGCCUUGGCGCUGAGAGGCGAUGAAGGACGUGUACGCUGCGAUA